GGCUCUCGGAUUUUGCGGUUUUGCAUAACGCACUCGCGAAACGAGUAAACAUCUUGCACGUGUAGGACAUGUGUGUACGUGUGUCAGGGUCGUUCUACAACGGAACAAGUCUCGUAAGCGAUUGAAAGGCACAGACUUUCUGUAAAGAUGAGAAAAACCGAGAUUACAGUUAUUUUACGUCAAUAGAGAAGAAGUAAUAAUAUAAUUUAUACGCUAUUGUAGAAUGGUCUUUUGUUUGUGAUCGACUAAAGCCUUGGAAUGGAUGGUGGUAAAUGAUGGUCGCUUUAUAAACGGCGCGCAUUGAUAUCAGUAUCAUCCCGCCGAUCCAGAUAUAUGCAAUUUAAAUUAUUGCGCUCGAAUAAACAUGAUAACGCGAUGAUGAUAAUACGAGGAAUUAAUUAAAUAUUAAUAGAGAAUGUUGAACUGAUUCAUAUCAUUGUGAAACAAGAAAUCAAUUAUUUUUGUUUCUCUGUCUCACUCUCUGUUUAAAAAUAUUCAACUUGUAAAUUAAAUUAUUUACAAAUUUAUAAAUUUAAUUUGAGUUCGAAUCUGUCACCAAAAAAAUUCCAUCAGAUAGAAUUUUUAAGAUAUAUAUAUAUAGCAGGUGGUAGCACUGCUUGAAUAAUAAAUUUGUAUCAUUGUUUAUACCACAUGGAGUUGUUUUAGUUUAUAUUAUAGGUAAAAAGAGUAAGUAAUAAAAGAAAUAUAAAAUAUAUAUCCGUAUAUGUCAAAAUUAAUUAUAUAUAUUUUUUCAUUUUUUAAAAUAUAAUAAAAUUCAUAUUAAUACUUAUUUUUUAAAUAUAUUUCUCUAUAUUUAUCCCCUAUUCCUAUACACUAAUACAAAUUUAAAAAAUCGCAAUUGAAAUUGUAAAUUUACCGACUUUACAAGAACACCUUUUUGCAAGAAAAUAUCAGGAGAGCAUAAUAAGUAAGGAACUAAGAGAAUAAAUCGAGAAGUCGUGCUAUCUAAUGUUCUAGGAGAAACAUUAUUUUAAGAAUCUUAGAAUUUUUCGAAAAAUCUAAAUUCCUGAAAAGUUUACAAUCUUAAAUGUGUAAUAAAAUUUAAAAAAUAAUACAAAAAAUAUAUUACGUAUAAUAUUAAUGUCAGAUUAUGAGGGAAAUUGGAAAUUAAAGUUUUAUGAUCAUUAAAAUAUUUAUUUUAGAACUAUACAGUAAUGGUAAAAAUGGAAACACAUAUCAAAUGUAAAUAUAAUAUACAGACGAUGGCAAUAAUGAUGGAAAAAAACCAACGCAUAUAUGUUUCUAUAUGGUAAAUAAAUAAAUGUAGCGCAAUUGUCUUAAAUGUCGGUGAUAAAUUUAUAAUUGUUCUUACAAAAGUUCCUACAAAAAUCU